UCCUCCCUCUUUCUUCGUGCUUAACACAUGCAAGUCGAACGGUGAAGCUCCAGCUUGCUGGAGUGGAUCAGUGGCGAACGGGUGAGUAACACGUGAGCAACCUGCCCCUGACUCUGGAAUAAGCGCUGGAAACGGCGUCUAAUACUGGAUACGAGAAGGGUCCGCAUGGGCACUUUCUGGAAAGUUUUUCGGUUGGGGAUGGGCUCGCGGCCUAUCAGCUUGUUGGUGAGGUAAUGGCUCACCAAGGCGACGACGGGUAGCCGGCCUGAGAGGGCGACCGGCCACACUGGGACUGAGACACGGCCCAGACUCCUACGGGAGGCAGCAGUGGGGAAUAUUGCACAAUGGGCGAAAGCCUGAUGCAGCGACGCCGCGUGAGGGAUGACGGCCUUCGGGUUGUAAACCUCUUUCAGCAGGGAAGAAGCGAAAGUGACGGUACCUGCAGAAGAAGCACCGGCUAACUACGUG
rnacentral:rRNA from 1 species